GAGGAUUACGUCAAAUGAUAAGUUUGGCAUUGGAAUUUGAAAAACAUGCUAAUAAUUAAUUCUUGCAGGUAAUAUGACUGCAAUUAUUUAUCAUCUUCUAUCCUUUUCCUUCAACUUUAAAUGGUUGAAUUAAAUCAACAUAUGCGAUAUGUCUGAAUGGUCUUUGUUCUUCAUGUUUGCAUCAGGCAAGGUUGGUUACCUGUUACAUGUUCACCUCAACAUUAGGUGAUUUCUCGGAGAUUUAUGUCUUUGAGCUGUGGUGCUGUGAAUGUUUUUUAAUUUGUGGAAUUGAUUUCAACUGUUUCAUUGGCAAUGGCAUACAAUUUGGCUUUGUAUUGUAAUUUUAUAGAACUCCCAAAAGAACAAUAUUGACUUAUCUAUCUAUGU
rnacentral:lncRNA from 1 species